rnacentral:rRNA from 1 species
UACGUAGGGUGCAAGCGUUAAUCGGAAUUACUGGGCGUAAAGCGUGCGCAGGCGGUUUUGUAAGUCUGAUGUGAAAGCCCCGGGCUCAACCUGGGAAUUGCAUUGGAGACUGCAAGGCUUGAAUCUGGCAGAGGGGGGUAGAAUUCCACGUGUAGCAGUGAAAUGCGUAGAGAUGUGGAGGAACACCGAUGGCGAAGGCAGCCCCCUGGGUCAAGAUUGACGCUCAUGCACGAAAGCGUGGGGAGCAAACAGG